rnacentral:rRNA from 1 species
GUCUAUGGCCAUGCCACCCUGAACAAGCCCGAUCCUGUUGGGUCGCGAAAGCUAAGCAGGGUCGGGCCUGGUUAGUACUUGGAUGGGAGACCACCUAGGAAGACCAGGUGCUGUAGGCG